GACGAACGCUGGCGGCGCGCUUAACACAUGCAAGUCGAACGGAAAGGCCUGCUUUCCCUUGUGGAUUGCGGUUACUCGCGUGGGAAACGGGUGAGUAACACGUGAGUGUUCUGCCCCCAACUUGGGUAUAAGCUGGGGAAACUGGGUCAAAUUCCCGCUAGGACUGCGGGGUGGUGCGGGUGGUGGAAACGGAUUUGCUAGGGGUUGGGGAUGAGCUCGCGGCCUAUCGGCUUGUUGGUGGGGUAAUGGCUGACGAGGGCGGGGACGGGUAGCCGGCCUGGGAGGGUGGACGGCAACAUUGGGACUGGGAUACGGCCCAGACUCCUACGGGAGGAAGCAGUGGGGAAUAAUGAACAAUGGGCGGAAGCCUGAUGCAGCGACGCCGCGUGGGGGAUGACGGCCUUCGGGUUGUAAACUUCUUUCGGCCGCGAGGAAGCCACCUGGUUGGAAGGGUGGUGACGGUAGUGGUAGAAGAAGCACCGGCUAACUACGUG
rnacentral:rRNA from 1 species